UCGGGGUACACGAGUGGCGAACGGGUGAGUAACACGGNUGGGUGAUCUGCCCUGCACUUUGGGAUAAGCCUGGGAAACUGGGUCUAAUACCGAAUACNANNGGACCACGCGCUUCAUGGUGUGUGGUGGAAAGCUUUUGCGGUGUGGGAUGGGCCCGCGGCCUAUCAGCUUGUUGGUGGGGUAAUGGCCUACCAAGGCGACGACGGGUAGCCGGCCUGAGAGGGUGACCGGCCACACUGGGACUGAGAUACGGCCCAGACUCCUACGGGAGGCAGCAGUGGGGAAUAUUGCACAAUGGGCGCAAGCCUGAUGCAGCGACGCCGCGUGAGGGAUGACGGCCUUUCGGGUUGUAAACCUCUUUCAAUAGGGACGAAGCGCAAGUGACGGUACCUAUAGAAGAAGCACCGGCCAACUACGUGCCAGCAGCCGCGGUAAUACGUAGGGUGCGAGCGUUGUCCGGAAUUACUGGGCGUAAAGAGCUCGUAGGUGGUUUGUCGCGUUGUUCGUGAAAACUCACAGCUUAACUGUGGGCGUGCGGGCGAUACGGGCAGACUAGAGUACUGCAGGGGAGACUGGAAUUCCUGGUGUAGCGGUGGAAUGCGCAGAUAUCAGGAGGAACACCGGUGGCGAAGGCGGGUCUCUGGGCAGUAACUGACGCUGAGGAGCGAAAGCGUGGGGAGCGAACAGGAUUAGAUACCCUGGUAGUCCACGCCGUAAACGGUGGGUACUAGGUGUGGGUUCCUUCCUUGGGAUCCGUGCCGUAGCUAACGCAUUAAGUACCCCGCCUGGGGAGUACGGCCGCAAGGCUAAAACUCAAAGGAAUUGACGGGGGCCCGCACAAGCGGCGGAGCAUGUGGAUUAAUUCGAUGCAACGCGAAGAACCUUACCUGGGUUUGACAUGCACAGGACGCCGGCAGAGAUGUCGGUUCCCUUGUGGCCUGUGUGCAGGUGGUGCAUGGCUGUCGUCAGCUCGUGUCGUGAGAUGUUGGGUUAAGUCCCGCAACGAGCGCAACCCUUGUCCUAUGUUGCCAGCGGGUUAUGCCGGGGACUCGUAGGAGACUGCCGGGGUCAACUCGGAGGAAGGUGGGGAUGACGUCAAGUCAUCAUGCCCCUUAUGUCCAGGGCUUCACACAUGCUACAAUGGCCGGUACAAAGGGCUGCGAUGCCGUGAGGUGGAGCGAAUCCUUUCAAAGCCGGUCUCAGUUCGGAUCGGGGUCUGCAACUCGACCCCGNANUCUGAAGUCGGAGUCGCUAGUAAUCGCAGAUCAGCAACGCUGCGGUGAAUACGUUCCCGGUGCCUUGUACACACCGCCCGUCACGUCAUGAAAGUCGGUAACACCCGAAGCU
rnacentral:rRNA from 1 species